rnacentral:rRNA from 1 species
GACGAACGCUGGCGGCGUGCCUAACACAUGCAAGUCGAGCGGGAACCUCAGGAGGGGGUAACCCUUCUGAGGGGAGAGCGGCGAACGGGUGAGUAACACGUGGGCAACCUGCCCCGGACACCGGGAUAACCCAGGGAAACCUGAGCUAAUACCGGAUACUCCGGCGCGAUCGCAUGGUCGUGCCGGGAAAGCUCCGACGGUCCGGGAUGGGCCCGCGGCCUAUCAGCUUGUUGGUGGGGUAACGCCACCAAGGCGACGACGGGUAGCUGGUCUGAGAGGACGGCCAGCCA